rnacentral:rRNA from 1 species
CAUAUAAUACAGGUUGAAGUUCUCAACAUCACUGUUGGACAACUCCUAGAGAUCGAGCCCAUGCCUGUGCUUAGGGAGGAUGAAAUAAAACGGAAAUAUGUCUGGGGCCAACCUUUGGUCAAGCCAGACAAGGUCAAGAACCUCCCAACGAGAAUGUAUGAAUUGCAUCAAUGGUACGUGAACAUUACCAAGAUUUCAGAUCGAUUGUCCCUCAUGGUGAAUGUCAAGGAGGAGCAUUACUUCCAUGAGAAAGCUCUGUCCGUUGAGUAUUCUGAACUGUUUCAGUUAUACAAUCAAGACGCACUCGACAAAUCUAUCGUCAGUUGCUAUUGUCUGUAA